UCGUGUGCCCCGCCCAUCUCCUAGGUCAGCAUCGCCAUGUUUUGUCGUGUACGGCGGUGGCGGCAGGGCCGCCACCUGCGCGUCCGUGCUAGCCGCCUUCUUGGCGUCCCUGGCCUCCUCUGCCAGCUCCCCCCAAAAGGACCAUGCGUGCCGCUGCGCCUCUGGCGCCAGGCCGCUGACCGGUGCAGUCCCCUGCAUGUUACACCGAGCUCAAUGAGACGAAGGAGGCACUGUGUUCUUUUCACAACAAUAAUCUUGGACGCUGUCCACCUCUUGGCCUGGCUGGACUUUUCCUGAACUUUUGGGUGGUCUCCCACAGAAGACCCCACUCUUUUAUCAACAACCACCGUGACAGACAAGCUGAGAUGACAAAAGCCUCUCCACCAGAGAAGACCCUGAGAAAUCCCCAUGUGAGAAAAGGCCUCCCUCACACUUUCCAAGGACUGGAGCCCCCAGCCCGGGGGAGGUGCACGGGGGGAGGUGAGCUGACCAAAGCAAGAUGGAUGACUGCAGGUGCAGGCACUGGACCAUAAAAACAAUGGCCUUCAUUCCUUGCAAAGUGGACUGUGUGUACCCCUUUUAUAAAUACCAUUCUUUCUAUACAAUAGAUUUGGUUUCGAAAUAAUGCCCUUCCCCCUCAUCAAGAACAGUAUAAUUAGGGUCCCGAAUGGACUGCCUUUCUGAGAUCUCCCCAGGACGUGAACUGGUGAACCUCUUCGGCUGGACACUGAAGGACCUCGGCCAUUCUAACGUUUUGGUAGCUAUAACCCUCCCUUUUUCUUUCCCUUCCUUAUUUUUCCCUUUUUCCCUUAAUUCUCCCCAACACAUUUUUACUGUGGUUGUUUCAAUAAAGUCCAUUGUGUUGAUUAACCUGCAAACCCCCUUG